CAAGGCAAAAGGCACUAGCAGGUACCCAUGUGCAGCUGCAAUAGAAGCAGCCAACUAAAAGCUUCAAACUGCUGCUGUCAAACAACUGCAUCGAAUGAAAAUGUACCACAAAAUGGACGUUUUCAAACCUGAAAAGGACAGAGGCAUUGCUCCAGUUUCACGUUGGAUUUUCAUCAUCAGGAGCAGGUAGAGGUGUCAGAAUACAGUGUGCCAGCUGAUUCCUUAGCUGAAAGUGCA